rnacentral:rRNA from 1 species
CAGUCGCCACGGUAAUACAGAGGGUGCAAGCGUUAAUCGGAAUUACUGGGCGUAAAGCGCGCGUAGGUGGUUUGUUAAGUUGGAUGUGAAAGCCCCGGGCUCAACCUGGGAACUGCAUCCAAAACUGGCAAGCUAGAGUACGGUAGAGGGUGGUGGAAUUUCCUGUGUAGCGGUGAAAUGCGUAGAUAUAGGAAGGAACACCAGUGGCGAAGGCGACCACCUGGACUGAUACUGACACUGAGGUGCGAAAGCGUGGGGAGCAAACAGGAUUAGAUACCCCGGUAGUCCCUGUCUCUUAUAC